CUUCGGCAUCUAUAAUGCAGUCGAGCGAUGGAUUAAGAGCUUGCUCUUAUGAAGUUAGCGGCGGACGGGUGAGUAACACGUGGGUAACCUGCCCAUAAGACUGGGAUAACUCCGGGAAACCGGGGCUAAUACCGGAUAACAUUUUGAACCGCAUGGUUCGAAAUUGAAAGGCGGCUUCGGCUGUCACUUAUGGAUGGACCCGCGUCGCAUUAGCUAGUUGGUGAGGUAACGGCUCACCAAGGCAACGAUGCGUAGCCGACCUGAGAGGGUGAUCGGCCACACUGGGACUGAGACACGGCCCAGACUCCUACGGGAGGCAGCAGUAGGGAAUCUUCCGCAAUGGACGAAAGUCUGACGGAGCAACGCCGCGUGAGUGAUGAAGGCUUUCGGGUCGUAAAACUCUGUUGUUAGGGAAGAACAAGUGCUAGUUGAAUAAGCUGGCACCUUGACGGUACCUAACCAGAAAGCCACGGCUAACUACGUGCCAGCAGCCGCGGUAAUACGUAGGUGGCAAGCGUUAUCCGGAAUUAUUGGGCGUAAAGCGCGCGCAGGUGGUUUCUUAAGUCUGAUGUGAAAGCCCACGGCUCAACCGUGGAGGGUCAUUGGAAACUGGGAGACUUGAGUGCAGAAGAGGAAAGUGGAAUUCCAUGUGUAGCGGUGAAAUGCGUAGAGAUAUGGAGGAACACCAGUGGCGAAAGCGACUUUCUGGUCUGUAACUGACACUGAGGCGCGAAAGCGUGGGGAGCAAACAGGGAUUAGAUACCCUGGGUAGUCCACGCCGUAAACGAUGAGUGCUAAGUGUUAGAGGGUUUCCGCCCUUUAGUGCUGAAGUAACGCAUAAGCAUCCGCUGAUUCCAC
rnacentral:rRNA from 1 species